rnacentral:lncRNA from 1 species
AGGAGUCGUUGUCUCAGGCAUUCAGAGCUAGGAGGCGAGGAUACUAGUGGUCAACAGUAGUGUCAUCUAGGUUACUAUUUCCCUAUAUUUUAUCGAAACAUUAGGGAGAAUGUUUUGUUUAAGUGUGGGAGGAGAUUUCUAUGCUUUCCUUUUCUUUUAAUUUUUUGCAUUUAUCGUUUUUUUAGUUUAUUUUAGUUUGUUAGUUUCUUUUCAAUAAAUUGCAUGUGCUAGACGAGUCAUUUGUGUAGUGUAUCCUUACUUCCCCAUUUCUUGAGCCUUACAAAAAAAGUUUUGACAAAGAAAACAACUUUUUUUUGAAAAAUUUGGGAUUUUAGACAAGUUUAGGAUAGGAUGUUAAAGACUUGGGAAAAUUUUAAAAAAAAUAGAUAUCGUCUCAACACCGUAAGCUUCUUGAAUUUGGAGACCGAUCCCGAUACUUACUAUAUUAUAGCCUUAAUUUUAAUCCCAAAUAGUAAAGCCCUUAAGUUGUUUAUUUCAGCAGUCAGCAUCGGCUUAAGCAUACUCUACGUAAGGAAACCGAUGAAAACAAGUGAAUGAUUCUAAAAUUCUUGUAUACUAAAAAAUAAAAAAAAAUACCCGUUGUAGUCGAUUUAGAGGUAUCUGGUGCUGGACUUGGUAGGGCGGGUUACGGUCCGAUCCCCCACAGGUACAAUAGGGAAUACA